AAGUGAUUUCAGAAACAGUUAUACUCAUGAAUUUAUUAUACAAUUAAGCAGAAUAGGGUGCUUGAUUGACUUGGCAGAAGAAAUUUCAUCUCCUAAAGUGUCAGGUGAUUUUGUUUGUAUAAGAAUUUUUUUCAACCUGUUCACUCACAGCGCUGGGAGGUAAGUGCCAGUCUUGAGAUUGCCUAAACGUUUUAAACAGUAUGUAGAUAGUACUGCCCCUACUCGCCCUGUGAUCCCAGGCAGUCACAUACAGAACAGGAUGGGGGAUCAGGAGACAUCAGCAGACCACAGGUGUGGAUAAAUGUUAAAGUGUGAGAAAUGAACACAGAACCUGCGGGGCCUGAUUGAAGGACCCUAUAAGACAUUGUCUGUGUGGUAGACUCUCCUGAGAUGGUAGAGUGGAAGGGGAAGGGCCUCCUCCAUUACAAGUCUCAGGGGGCAGGAUCGCCAGUGGGCUGGGAAAGUGAUGCCUCUAGGUGAGAUGGGUAUUCAAUGCCACAGUAAAUUGAUUUGUAUUUUACAAGCACUGUAAAUGCGAAGGAUAUUGAAAGGUAGCCUGGAAAACUUCAGUGUAUGGGCAUAGAGCUCAUGCGCGCGCAUGAGUGGCCAAUGAACGAUACCCGGCCCUCCUCUCUCGGACUUAGCCACGCCCUUCAUUAGUUCCUGAGGGGAUUUUUCAGAACAGAGGUUAUGGCAGUUUCACCAUCCAAUUCCAUUUUUAGCAGGUGUGCUUCCUGACCAAAGAAGUCAGAUGAGUGCAUGAGCAGCCCCUUCGAGGACAAGGCUUGGAUUCCCAGGAGCAGACAAGGAACUCUGUGGGCAUACUCCAAGGAAACUGGACCUACUCUGUCACAGGACAUCCACUGUUUAAGCACCACCACUACCUCAGGAAGUCCACUGUCUGUGUGUCAACUCCACUUUCAAAGGACCUUCACUGUCACAGAACCGGCGCUAUUUCAGUGCCUCCACUGUCACAGGACCUACCUCUUCACAGGAUCUGCACUGUUGCAGCAACUGUAAUUUCAAUUUUUCAAAGUCAUUGCUGGUUAUUAGAUUUGAGGCUGAAUGAAAUGUGAUGCUACUUUUGACAGCAUAAGAAUUUGUUCUAUAGCUCUUGUGAUAAAUGCCGUGUGUGCUAGGACCAGUAACCUAUGGAAGACUUCAUGAGCUCAUACCACUCUCCACCUCACUUUGUGGAAGCUGGUGUUUUUAGAGUGUGAUAAACUUCAGGUGAAUGGAUUCAUUCAGCUUCACCACGCUCUAUAGUGUGCUACACAGCAGUCAUAUUGAGUCCUUGCUGGGAAGAGAAGAAAUCCAGAAGAGGGAGAAGGCUUGGGUUGGGGGAAGAAUCAUCAAAUACUUAGAGGAUAUAAGAAGGUAAGAAUUAUGGGGAACUGGAAAACAGAGCCAGAGGAAGAAUGAGCACAGAGCAAACUGGGAAGGACAAAGUACAAAGGCACGUGGGUUUUGCCAUCUGCGUGUUCUCUGGACAAUCUCCCUUGGCCUCAUUUCUGGGAGAAAACUCUUCCUCCACCCCCUUGUAAUGUUUCAUUCUUGAAGGAAAGCAGCAACACAACUUCAUCAGUGAAUAUCCCCAUUGUAAUUGGUUCAUCCUUUAAUGCCUCUGGGAAAUCCCCAGCUGGGGAAUGUCCUGCUCUCUGCUGAGAGACAGCCGGAAAGUAGGUUGUCCUCUGUUUUCUCGUUGCUACAGCUCUUCUAAGUGUGGAUGAUUGUUGAGUGAAGACACAGGACACUUCUGGUGUGUAUGUAUGCUUUGUUCACUGUGGGUGUUGUCGGGAGUGUCCUGAAAAGAAGAAGGGCAUGCCCAAUGGCUCUUUGCUUCCCCUUUGACUAGCCUUAUGAUCAUAGAGAUACACUAGGCGAUUGGAAGAUGAGGAGAACAAUGUGUCUAUGUUGUGUUCACUUCUAUUCCUAUUUAGUCCUAGAGGGAAAUCAGCAAGGGUAGAGAAUGGGACCGUAACUGGACAAAGCUGCUGAGCCUGUGUUGUGAAGCAAUUCCUGUGUAUAACUUGCUGUUACAUUAAGCAAUAGGAUGCCAUGUUCUGGCUAUACCUUUUUGAUGCAAUGAAUCUAUAAUAUUUUACCUAAAACCUCAAUAUAUUACGUUUCUUCCUCUUUUGGAGUAUCUGGUAUGGGAGGGAUCACUUCUUCAUAAGGAUUUGUGAACCUCUUCCAGUUUUCAUUUUCAUUGAUGAGGGGUACAUCAUCACCUCUGAGACUGUCAGCCCAUAGUUUGGAUUGACUUUUAUUAAGAGGCUAAGCUGCCUCUUCUGACACCCCACAGUGAGCAGGGUACACACCUGCUACAACCUUUCUUCUGAACUGUUGUAUGACAACAGAGUCAAAUACAACAGUGAAAUAUAAGCCUACUCCCAAGAUCCAUACGUUGUUGUUAUUUAUUUUUUUGCACCAUCAUAAAGUUGUCCUAGGAAGAGAUCAGGUGCACCAAUAGGGUAAGCACCAUGCUGCCAGUUCAGCAUUUGCCCAGGUUUGUCUUGAGUUGAAGGCCAAAGUCGAUGCUUUUGACUUUUCCGUUCUUCUCUAACAGAAUAUAAUCUGGUUUCAGGUCACUGUGAACUUAUACAGUGCCCAUAGCCAUAGAUAAAGCCUGCUAACAUUUGCCUAAAUAUUUCCUUGGCUCCUUCCUCCUCUCGGUGGAAAGAUUUUCAGAUGUAUUUGUAAAGCUCUAAAAUUUCAACCAGUUUCACGAUAAGUUAUUAGAAUUGUCUCAGACUCAAUUGGAGAAGCAAGAUGAUGUUGGGGUGGAUGAAAAACUUCAUUAUAUUUGCCAUGGUCAUGUUUGGCUGGCACCAUUGCUUCUUCUUUGCAUGCACUUUGAUAACCCCUGUAGCAGAACUUCCACUGUCCCAGCACCUGAACUAUCCCAAGACCUCCACAGUCAAAGGACCAAUAUUGUGGUAGGGCGUCUGUGGUCAGGCAACUCCUCUGUCUCAGACCCUCCAAAUUGCAAGACCUUUAUGGGCACUGGAAGUCACUGUCCAUAAACUUCCACUGUUGGAAAACCUCAACUAUAACAAGGACCUCUACUAUUGUACAACCCCCUUGUCAUAGCACGUCUAUUGUUACAAAGUAGUCCACUGUCAAAGGACCUCCAGUGUCUCAGCCUCUCCACUGUUACAGGAUCUCUACUGUCUUAGGACCACUGCUGUUGGAGGACCUCCUGUCUCUCAGCAACUUCAGUUUGUUGGAGCUCUCCUAUCAGAGGACAUUUACAUUUUCUGUACUUCCAGUGUCACAGCUGUUAUAAGAACCUCCGUUCUCACAGGACCUCCAGUGCGUCAGUACCUCCACUGUCCAAGGACUUUUAUAUAGUAGGACCUCUACUGUUUUACAGAAUGUCCACUGUCGCUAGAUUUCCACUGUCACAACACCGCAACAAUUACAAGAACUGCAAUUUUGGCAUGACCUCCAGUGUUCCAGCCCCUCCAGUGUCAUAGGACGUCCACUAUCACAGGACGUCCACUGUCUCACCAAGGCCAAUUUAAAGGACCUCUACUAUAACAGGAUAUCCACUGUAGCUGGACUUACACUGUUGCAGUACCUCAACUGUUGCAGGACCAACAAGGUUGCAGGACAUAGACCCUCUCAGCAGCUAGAAUUUGCAGGACCUCUACUGGCACAAAAAUUCCACAGUUGCUGGAGCUCCACUGUCACUGCAAAUGCACUGUCUCAUGAUAUUCACUGUUGCUGGACCAGUAGUGUGGCAGCACAUCCAUUUUUGCCAAGCCCCUCCACUGACGCAAGACUUCCACUUUUGUAGCACCUUCACUGUCCAAGCAAACCAACUCCUGCAGGAUCUCCAUUGUCUCAGGGCAUUCACUAAUGCCAGCUCUCCAAUGCUGUAGGAUAUCCACUUUCACAACAGCUAGAAUCUUGCAGGACCUCUACUGGCAAAGAGUCCACUGCUGCUGGCUCUCUACGGUCAGUGCCAAUGCACCGAUUCAUGACCUCCAUUGUCACAGGACCUCCACUUUUGUAGAUCCUUCACUGUCCAGGCAAACUGCAGGAUCUCCAGUGUCUCAGGACAUUUACUGGUGCAGAGCCUCCCUUUAUUCCAGACUUCAACUAUUCCAAGGUCAUCUACACUGUCUUAGGACCUCCAAUAUUGCAGGACCUCAAAUGUCCCAGGACCUCAGGUGACAUAGCACCUCCAUUGUCCCAACACCCUUACUGUCCCAGAACCUCAAUUUUCCCACGACCUAUUCAGUUGCAUGACCUCCAAAGUUGGAAGAACUGCACGGUAUGAGAGCCUCAACUGUUGUAGGACCUCCAAUGUUGUAGGAACACAAUAUUCCUACACUGGACCUACACUGUCCUUCACCUACACUUUCCUAGCACCUCCACUCUCACAGGACCUACACUGUUGCAGGAACUCCAUUGUCUGAGCACCUGCAUGUCUCAGGACCUCGAAUGAUCCAGAACCUCUAAUGGUGCAGGACCUCCACUGUCACCAGACUUCCACUGUCUCAGGACAUCCACUCUAUCACCAACUAGACUUUUGCAGAACUUCUACUGGAACAGGGUCUUCAUUGUGGCUGGUCUUACAUUGUCUAAGGCCUCCACUAUCACAGACUUUCAGAUGAAUUUGUAAAGCUGUAGAACUUCAAAGAGCUCCAUGAGAAGGUAUAGACGUGUCUCAGGCUCAAUUCCUUGGUGAAGCAAUAUGAAUUUGGGGUGGAUUAAUAUCUUCAUUAUAUUUGCCAUGGUCUGGUCUGGGUGGCAUCCUUGCUGCUUCUUUCCAUGCAUUUUGAUAACCAUUGUAGCAGUACUUCCACUGUCCCAGAACCUGCACUACCCUAAGAACUCCCUUGUCACAGGACAUCCACUGUGGUAGUACCUUGGCUGUCAGAAAACUCCACAGACUCAGUACCUCCAAACUGCAAGAUCUCUACUGGCACAGGAAUUCUACUGUCCCUGAACAUCCACUGUCACAGCACUUCAACUGUUUCAAGGACCUCUAUUGUCGCAAGACCUCCUAUAUCACGGUUAUAAGGACCUGCAUUGUCAAAAGACCUCCAUUGUCUCAGCCCUUCCACUUUCUCAGGACCUCCAAGCUGCAGGAACUCUACUGGCACAGGUUAUCCAUUGACACUGCUUUUCCACUGUUGCAGGACCUCAACUGUUAUAAGGACCUCCACUGUGGCAGGACCUUCAGUGUCUCAUCAACUUCACGGUGAGCAACACCAAUGUGCAAGACCUCUACUAGCACAGUAUAUGUACAGUAUCUAUACUUAGACUGUUGCAGUACCUUAACUGUUGCAGGACCUCCAAUUUAGAACAUGCACUCUUUUAGCAGCCAGACUUUUGCAGGACCUCUACUGGCACAAUAAUUCCUCUGUUGUUGGACCUCCACCGUCAGUUCAAUGGCACUGACUCAUGACAUCCACUGUUGCAGGACCUCCAAUGUUGAAGGAUGUUCACUGUUGCAGGGCAUUCCCUGUCAAAGGACCUCUGUUGAUGCAGGAUCUCCACUUUCACUGUUCUAGCAAACCAACUAUUGCAGAACCUACAGUGUUGGAACAACUGCAUUGUAUCAGGACAUUUACUGUUGCAUGACCUGUAGUGUGGAACACCCCCAUUUUUACCAGAUCUCAGCUGUCCCAGGCCCAUCUCCACUGACUGAGGACCUCCAAUAAUGCAGGACAUCCAAUAUUUCAGGACCUCAAAUGUGCCAGGACCUCAACUGAUGAAGGAUCUCCAAUAUCGCAGCACCAAAACAGUCACAGGACCUCCAUUGUCCCAUCACCUUUACUGUCCCAGCACCUCCACUCUCACAUGACCUACAAUGGUGCAUAAACUCCAAUGUCCGAGCAACUGCACUGUCUCAGGACCUCGAUUGUUCCAGAACCUCCCAUAGUGCAGGACCUCCACUGUCACCAGAUCUCCACUGUCUUAGAACAUCCACUCUAUCACCAACUCGACUUGUGUAGAACCUCUCCUGGCACAGCAUCUCCAUUGUGCCUGGUCUGACAUUGUAUCAAAACUUCAGCUAUCACAGGAAUUCCACUGUAGCAGGACCUCCUCUGUCUAAAGACAACCCCUAUUGCAGGACCUUUACUGUGCAAGGAACUCCACUGUUGCAGGACAUCCAUUCUUGCAACACCUGCAUUGUCUCAGGACCUCCACUGUACCAAUCCCAUCUCCAAUGUCUCAGGACGCCCACUCUUUCAGGACCUCCACUGUUGCAUGAUCUUGAAUGUAAAAGGACCUUCGCUAUCUCAGUGCCUCCACUGUUGCACGAACUACAAUGUCUCUCAGUGCCUCCACUUUUGAAGGACCUACAAUGUCACGGGUGCUGCACUGUUUUAUCAACACCACUAUCACUUAUUACAAGGCUUUGCUGGUUAUUUAUUUUGAA
rnacentral:sRNA from 1 species